rnacentral:rRNA from 1 species
GACAGAGGGUGCAAACGUUGUUCGGAAUUACUGGGCGUAAAGCGUGCGCAGGCGGUUUCGUAAGUCUGUCGUGAAAUCCCCGGGCUUAACCUGGGAAUUGCAUCCGAGACUGUCUGACUUGAGUAUGCUAGAGGGAAGUGGAAUUCCAGGUGUAGCGGUGAAAUGCGUAGAUAUCUGGAGGAACACCGGUGGCGAAGGCGGCGUCCUGGACCAACACUGACACUGAUGAGCGAAAGCCAGGGGAGCAAACGGG